UAGGGAAUCUUCCACAAUGGACGCAAGUCUGAUGGAGCAACGCCGCGUGAGUGAAGAAGGUCUUCGGAUCGUAAAGCUCUGUUGUUGGUGAAGAAGGAUAGAGGCAGUAACUGGUCUUUAUUUGACGGUAAUCAACCAGAAAGUCACGGCUAACUACGUGCCAGCAGCCGCGGUAAUACGUAGGUGGCAAGCGUUGUCCGGAUUUAUUGGGCGUAAAGCGAGCGCAGGCGGAAUGAUAAGUCUGAUGUGAAAGCCCACGGCUCAACCGUGGAACUGCAUCGGAAACUGUCAUUCUUGAGUGCAGAAGAGGAGAGUGGAACUCCAUGUGUAGCGGUGGAAUGCGUAGAUAUAUGGAAGAACACCAGUGGCGAAGGCGGCUCUCUGGUCUGCAAACUGACGCUGAGGCUCGAAAGCAUGGGUAGCGAACAGGAUUAGAUACCCUGGUAGUC
rnacentral:rRNA from 1 species